CCUCCGCGUUCUCCGCCCCUCCCCCACCCUCGCGCACCGUCUCCUCGCUACCGUGUUCUCCACCCCUCCUCCACUCUCCCGCAUGAAGCCGCCUCUCACCUCCCGCAUGAAACCGCAAGCCGCAAGAAGAGGGAUCAUGCCCCCGCACUCUCUCUCUCUUGACCGUCGGCGCAAAGAGGCCGCACGGGGACCCACCCUCCUCCAUCAAGUGCCUGGGGCGCGGCGGUGUGGUUGUCGCGGCCACCUGAGGAGGUGCCCACCACCGGCGAGCAUGGCGCCACCGCUCGUGUCAGCCUUAAGGUACACGCCCCUCCAACAAAGCCCCGCUGCCCUCACCCGCCCUGAACCCUAAAACUCCUCAACCGCCAACGCCGCCGUGCUCUACUUCCGACGAGACGGCCUGCCUCGGCACCCCCGCCCCUCCUCCCCGGAUCCGGUGCCCCUGCUCGUCGUGCGGUCUCCACCCCCGACAGGCACCGGGCGUUGCUCCACCCAGCCCCCGCCCCAAACCUAAAACUCCUCCCAGCCGCCGCCUACCGUGCUCUCGAUGGUCACCAACGCCUCACGCACGAGGGAGAAUACCGGAUCCGUAGCACUAUGGCGACGGGUGACAGGUUGCGUGCCAUGGAUCUGUACGAGAUCCUCCUCCUCACGACACGGCUGGCUCGCAGGGCGACGACGUCCUCAAUCUAUCGCGUGGCCAGGUUACUGAUUUUACAUAAUGCUUCCUGCCAUAUGGUGUGGUUUGUUUGGUUAAAGGUUUAAACGUAAAACAGUGAUGUUUGCUACGUAGUUGAAAGUUGUAGUGCAAGUCGCAGAGCAUUUCUACCUUUUAAGAUAUUGUGGGGGCUAGGCGAUGCUAACAUUUUGGUGUUUGUAAUUCUCUAGGAAGUUAGUGCUAGGCAGGUAAAAGGGGUGAAGAGGGUUUACUGGGAGAGGUGCAAAAUUGAGUGGAGAGUUGAUAGAGAUUUUUUCCAAUCUUUUGCUCGGGUGUACAAACAUCACAGGCUUCUAACAUUCCUAUUCUUGCGAACCACUGAAUUAUUCAAUAUUGAUUCUGAGUUAAGGAACAUGACAUUGGACGAAUUGGUUUUAGCCACUCAGCUAAGAUUAUAGCCUAACAUCACAGGAAGAGAUCACGGGUCUAUUUCCUGUAUUCAGGUGCCCAAAAGCUGAACAGAGCUGAGCUUGAAGUCGCCUGUGAAGAUUUUAGCAACAUCAACACUUUUCCUACAUGUACCGUGUUCAAGGGCAUAUUAUCAGGCGGGGUCGAGAUCAGCAUUGUCUCCACUGUCAUAUCGUCGAGCAAAGACUGGUCCAGGAGCGCAGAAACAUGCUUCAAGAAAAAGCUUAUGUCCAUAAUUCUUCAAGUCUGCAUAUGACUGCAUCAUUCUUCAGCCUUCUAGACUCCUUCCACUUCUGCCCCCUCGGAUACAAGGACUUCCCAGACUUAGGUAACACAACCUCUUCUCUUCUUUCAACAUGUUGUCAUGUUGUGCUUGAGUUAUGGUACAACUGGAGUUGGGUGAAAGCGACAUGGAGCCUUGAAGUGGUAGGUACCAGCUUUCACAUGUCCUCCGGGUCUGAAGUUUCUUGUGUUUGUCUAAACUUACGCUAUGCUUAGGAGAGUUGAGCUCAUGAAGCAGGACAAGAGAGCCAAGGUGUUGUGCCUGCAUGGCUUCUGCACGAGCGAGAGUUUUUUGAAGAGUAGAUCAACAACUGGCACUCUUCCAUAUUUCAGCAGUUUGAGAUGGUUCUGUGCUGGAUUCAAUUAUUCUGAUCUAAUUGAUUUCCUUCUUAGUUUUGUUCAACAAUAUUUUCCCUUUUUGUUUUUAGAUCUUCCCUGAUGGCAUCUUCCCGGCUGAUGGAAAGUCAGAGAUAGAGGGGAAAAACAAAUACUUUGAGUUGUUCCAGUUCAAUAAGGUUAGUGCUUUUUAGAUGGAACCAAACUAAAAUCAGCUCAUGCAUAUCUAAGUUAUAUUUUAGCUACAGUUUGAUCACCAUCUAAGCCGUAGCUAUUUGUGCCAAUCCAUGGCAGCCGCACGCCGCUCCCCCAGCAGCGUCGACUUCCAUCCAUGGCUGCCCGCGCGCCCGGCUCCCCCUUUCCUUGCGCGACGCGAGAUGGAUCGGCGAGAUUGCCCACAAAUCGCAUCCAUGGCAGCUUAGUUCUCCCAAAUCCGCCGCGAAUCGCAUCUGCCAACGAGGAUUGGCGCCGCCAUGUCGUAGAUCUCCCACGUCGGUGGCCGACUUUGUCAUGCCUUUCUUCCUCUUCAUCGUCGGAGUCGCCUUGGCGCUCGCGUACAAGAGAGUCCCGGACAAGUUGGACGCCUCGAGAAAGGCAUUGCUCCGUGCGCUGACGCUGUUUUGUCUUGGUCUUGGUCUUGUUCUACAAGGUGGAUUCUUUCAUGGUGUUCGUAGUCUAAGUUUUGGGGUUGACCUUCGAGAAAUACGGCUGAUGGGUGUACUGCAG